rnacentral:rRNA from 1 species
UAGGGAAUCUUCGGCAAUGGGGGCAACCCUGACCGAGCAACGCCGCGUGAGUGAAGAAGGUUUUCGGAUCGUAAAGCUCUGUUGUAAGUCAAGAACGAGUGUGAGAGUGGAAAGUUCACACUGUGACGGUAGCUUACCAGAAAGGGACGGCUAACUACGUGCCAGCAGCCGCGGUAAUACGUAGGUCCCGAGCGUUGUCCGGAUUUAUUGGGCGUAAAGCGAGCGCAGGCGGUUUGAUAAGUCUGAAGUUAAAGGCUGUGGCUCAACCAUAGUUCGCUUUGGAAACUGUCAAACUUGAGUGCAGAAGGGGAGAGUGGAAUUCCAUAUGUAGCGGUGAAAUGCGUAGAUAUAUGGAGGAACACCGGUGGCGAAAGCGGCUCUCUGGUCUGUAACUGACGCUGAGGCUCGAAAGCGUGGGGAGCGAACAGGAUUAGAUACCCUGGUAGUCCACGCCGUAAACGAUGAGUGCUAGGUGUUGGAUCCUUUCCGGGAUUCAGUGCCNNNGNCAACGCAUUAAGCACUCCGCCUGGGGAGUACGACNNNNNGGUUG